rnacentral:rRNA from 1 species
GACAGAGGCCUCGAGCGUUAGGCGGAAUCACUGGGCUUAAAGCGUGUGUAGGCGGAUCGUUAAGUACCUUGUGAAAUCCCACGGCUCAACCGUGGAACGGCUGGGUAUACUGGCGGUCUUGGGCCAUUCAGGGGCGACUGGAACAAGCGGUGGAGCGGUGAAAUGCUUAGAUAUCGUCAAGAACACCGAUAGUGAAGACAGCUUACUAGACUUCAACUGACGCUGAGGCACGAAAGUGUGGGGAUCAAACAGG